rnacentral:ncRNA from 2 species
AUCUUAUCGAGAGUGGCGGAGGGACUGGCCCAAUGAUGCCCGGCAACCGGUUUUAAAAAACGCGGUGCCAAAUCCUGCAGAGCUUAUGCUCUGAAAGAUAAGAG